AAGCGGGGCAAGCCAGCCUCAACCUACCCAAAUCCAGAGAGACGGUAGAAGACAUGCCAGAAGGGCAAGCAAGACAACACAUAUCACAAAUUGUCAGGAAAGACCUCCAAGACAAGGGCCUUUCGAGAUCGACUGCAGACAUUAUCCUUGCUGCCUGGAGGCCCUCAACAACUAAGCAGUAUGCUACCUACAUUAACCAGUGGUUGGACUUUU